GUGCUCUACAAAAUUUUAAGUAUUAAAAAUCACGAAACCAAUUGAGCUAAUUUUUAUUUAAAUUUUUUAGAAUGCGAUAUAGCGUAGUAUAGCUAAUUUAUUAUUAAAAUUUAGGGGUGAAAGGCCUUACAAAUUUGGGGAUAUCUUGAUAUUAAGGAAAUAUAUUUAGUAUAUAAUCAACCUAAAAAUGGUGAGGUUUUUGGGUCAUAUAUUGUUAGAUAUAACUGUACUUGGAAUUUUUAACAAAUACCUAACUACAAAAAUAAUAUUAAUUACUUUUUAUUUUAAUAAAUAAUACUUAAUUAGUAAGUCUAGUUGAUCAUUUAGUAAAUAAUGAUCUCAUUAGUAUCAAAUAUAAAAUUUACUUAAGGAACUCGGCAAAAAUAAAUUCUCGACUGUUUAACAAAAACAUAGCUUUAAGUUAAAAUUUAAAGUACAACCUGCUCAAUGAAAAUUAAAUAGCCGCAGUACCUUGACUGUGCAAAGGUAGCAUAAUCAGUUGGCUUAUAAUUGAAGUCUAGUAUGAAUGGGAAUCCGGGAAUUGACUGUCUUAAUUAAAGAUUUAGAAAUUAUUUAUUAGGUGAAAAUCCCUAAAAAUAGAAAAAAGACGAGAAGACCCUAGAAAUUUUAUUAAAAUUUUUUUCUUUUAUUUUGUUGGGGCGACAAGGUAACAAUUAACUUACCUAAAUAAUAGGAAACUAAUUAGUGGUAUAAUCAAAUUACUCUAGGGAUAACAGCAUAAUAUUUAAAAGAUUGUGACCUCGAUGUUGGACUAGGGAGAGAAGCACUUAAAAGGCACUUUUAUUAGCUCUGUUCGAGCAAAAAACCCUACAUGAUCUGAGUUCAGACCGG
rnacentral:rRNA from 1 species